UGAGUAUAUCGAAUGGUCGCAUACACAAUCCGUUAAUGAUUGUGUAUGAGGAAAGUCCGAGCUCCAUAGGGCAGAAUGCUGGGUAAUUCCCAGUGGAGGCGACUCUAAGGAUAGUGCAACAGAAAUAUACCGCCUAACAUUAAUUUUAGUGUUGGGUAAGGAUGGAAAGGUGAGGUAAGAGCUCACCAGCGAUAAGGUGACUAAUCGGCUAUGUAAACCCCAUUCGGAGCAAGACCAAGUAGGGAUAUUCAUGGCGACGGCCCGUUGCUUUCCCGUGGUAGGUUGCUAGAUUCUAUUGGUGACAAUAGAAGUAGAUAGAUGACCAUUCCAGACAGAACUCGGCUUAUAGAUAUACUCAUAAG
rnacentral:RNase_P_RNA from 1 species